AAUGAACGCUGGCGGCAUGCCUAACACAUGCAAGUCGAACGAAGGCUUCGGCCUUAGUGGCGCACGGGUGCGUAACGCGUGGGAAUCUGCCCUUGGGUUCGGAAUAACAAUUAGAAAUGACUGCUAAUACCGGAUGAUGUCGUAAGACCAAAGAUUUAUCGCCCAAGGAUGAGCCCGCGUAGGAUUAGCUAGUUGGUGAGGUAAAGGCUCACCAAGGCGACGAUCCUUAGCUGGUCUGAGAGGAUGAUCAGCCACACUGGGACUGAGACACGGCCCAGACUCCUACGGGAGGCAGCAGUGGGGAAUAUUGGACAAUGGGCGAAAGCCUGAUCCAGCAAUGCCGCGUGAGUGAUGAAGGCCUUAGGGUUGUAAAGCUCUUUUACCCGGGAUGAUAAUGACAGUACCGGGAGAAUAAGCUCCGGCUAACUUCGUGCCAGCAGCCGCCGUAACAC
rnacentral:rRNA from 1 species